CGUUAAGUUGCAGGGUAUAGACCCGAAACCCGGUGAUCUAGCCAUGGGCAGGUUGAAGGUUGGGUAACACUAACUGGAGGACCGAACCGACUAAUGUUGAAAAAUUAGCGGAUGACUUGUGGCUGGGGGUGAAAGGCCAAUCAAACCGGGAGAUAGCUGGUUCUCCCCGAAAGCUAUUUAGGUAGCGCCUCGUGAAUUCAUCUCCGGGGGUAGAGCACUGUUUCGGCAAGGGGGUCAUCCCGACUUACCAACCCGAUGCAAACUGCGAAUACCGGAGAAUGUUAUCACGGGAGACACACGGCGGGUGCUAACGUCCGUCGUGAAGAGGGAAACAACCCAGACCGCCAGCUAAGGUCCCAAAGUCAUGGUUAAGUGGGAAACGAUGUGGGAAGGCCCAGACAGCCAGGAUGUUGGCUUAGAAGCAGCCAUCAUUUAAAGAAAGCGUAAUAGCUCACUGGUCGAGUCGGCCUGCGCGGAAGAUGUAACGGGGCUAAACCAUGCACCGAAGCUGCGGCAGCGACACUGUGUGUUGUUGGGUAGGGGAGCGU
rnacentral:rRNA from 1 species